GACUUAAGCAUAUCAAUAAGCGGAGGAAAAGAAACCAACAGGGAUUGCCUUAGUAGCGGCGAGUGAAGCGGCAAAAGCUCAAAUUUGAAAUCUGGCACCUUCGGUGUCCGAGUUGUAAUUUGAAGAUUGUAACCUUGGGGUUGGCUCUUGUCUAUGUUUCUUGGAACAGGACGUCACAGAGGGUGAGAAUCCCGUGCGAUGAGAUGCCCAAUCCUAUGUAAGGUGCUUUCGAAGAGUCGAGUUGUUUGGGAAUGCAGCUCUAAGUGGGUGGUAAAUUCCAUCUAAAGCUAAAUAUUGGCGAGAGACCGAUAGCGAACAAGUACAGUGAUGGAAAGAUGAAAAGAACUUUGAAAAGAGAGUGAAAAAGUACGUGAAAUUGUUGAAAGGGAAGGGUUUGAGAUCAGACUCGAUAUUUUGUGAGCCUUGCCUUCGUGGCGGGGUGACCCGCAGCUUAUCGGGCCAGCAUCGGUUUGGGCGGUAGGAUAAUGGCGUAGGAAUGUGACUUUGCUUCGGUGAAGUGUUAUAGCCUGCGUUGAUGCUGCCUGCCUAGACCGAGGACUGCGAUUUUAUCAAGGAUGCUGGCAUAAUGAUC
rnacentral:rRNA from 1 species